AGGGUAUUCGGUGGAUGCCUUGGUGCUAAAAGGCGAUGAAGGACGUGGUAUGUCUGCGUUAAGCUUCGGUUAGUUGACAAACAAACUAUGAUCCGGAGAUUUCCGAAUGGGGAAACCUAGUUAAAUCUUUAACUACUAUAUGCUGAAACAAUAUGCGUAUUAGAGCGAACCUAGGGAAGUGAAACAUCUCAGUACCUAGAGGAAAAGAAAUCAAAAGAGAUACCCUUAGUAGUGGCGAGCGAAGCGGGUAAAGGCCAAACCAAGUAAUUUUAUUUCUUGGGGUUGUAGGAUUUUCGUAUGUCUGUGUGGUAGUAGAUAGCCGAAUCAUUUUGGAAUACUUGACCAUAGAAAGUGAAAGUCUUGUAGGCGAAAUCGAAAACAUGCAUAGAAAAAUUCCUGAGUACCGCAGGACAUGUGAAAUCCGGUGGGAACCUGGGUGAACCAUCAUCCAAGCCUAAAUACUAAUUAGUGACCGAUAGUGAACCAGUACCGUGAGGGAAAGGUGAAAAGAACCUCGGUUAGAGGAGUGAAAUAGAACCUGAAACCGUAUACCUACAAGCAGUCGAAGGCCUAUAGAUUGUAUCUAGGCUGACGGCGUGCCUUUUGUAUAAUGAUGUGGCGAGUUACCUUAUGUAGCGAGAUUAAGCUAAAAGAAGUGUAGUCGUAGGGAAACCGAGUCUUAACAGGGCGUAUUAGUUUCAUGAGGUAGACCCGAAACGGGAUGAGCUAACCAUGGUCAGGAUGAAGCAUGAGUAAAAUUAUGUGGAGGUCCGAACAGGUGGAGGUUGAAAACUCUUCUGAUGAACUGUGGUUAGGGGUGAAAGGCCAAUCAAAUUCCGUGAUAGCUGGUUCUCCCCGAAAGAUAUUUAGGUAUCGUCUCAAAUUACUUAGCUUUGGAGGUAGAGCACUGGAAAGUUUAGGGGGUCUAGCGAUCUACCAAAUCUUAUCAAACUCCGAAUGCCAUAGGCUACUACUUUGGGAAGCAGUUAUUGGGUGCUAAGGUCCGAUAACGAGAGGGAAAGAGCCCAGAUCAACAGCUAAGGCCCCAAAAUUUUGACUAAGUGGAAAAGGAUGUAAAAUAACUUAAACAGCCAGGAGGUGGGCUUAGAAGCAGCCAUCCUUUAAAGAAAGCGUAAUAGCUCACUGGUCAAGUUAUAUUGCGCCGAAAAUGUAACGGGGCUCAAGUCAAAUGCCGAAGCUUUGAAUUUACCUUCAUAAAUAUUUUAGGUAAAUGGUAGGGGAAGCGUCGCAGCGACUGCGAAGGAUGAUUGAAAAAACAUCUGGAGUCUCUGCGAGUGAGAAUGCCACAAUGAGUAGCGAUAAAGAGUGUGAGAAACACUCUCGCCGUAAACCUAAGGUUUCCUGGGGAAGGUUAAUCCGCCCAGGGUUAGUCGGGUCCUAAGUCGAGGUCGAAAGGAGUAGACGAUGGAAAACAGGUUAAUAUUCCUGUACCUGGUGUACUAGCAAUGAAUCAAGCGGGGACGAAAUAGGAUAGCUGAGCCACUUAUUGGAUUUGUGGUUUAAACUUGUAGGCUUAAAGGGUAUGACAAAAAGCUCUUUAAAAAGGCCGAGAAGUUAUGACGAAAUUUAUUGUAAUGUAAAUGAAGUUAGUGAUUCCAUGUUUCCAAGAAAAGCCGCGUGUGGAGCUUUGUACCAGCUCGUACCGUAAACCGACACAGGUAGGUAGGGUGAGUAUCCUAAGGCGCUUGAGAGAACUCAGUCUAAGGAACUCUGCAAAUUUGCACCGUAACUUCGGGAAAAGGUGUGCCUUUAUUAAGUGAAAAGCAUAGACGCUUAUAGCUAAACAAGGUCGCAGUGAAAAGGCGGUGGCGACUGUUUAUCAAAAACACAGCACUCUGCAAAACCGAAAGGUGAGGUAUAGGGUGUGACGCCUGCCCAGUGCCGGAAGGUUAAUGAAAUGUGUUAGUAUUUUUACGAAGCUCAUGACUGAAGCCCCGGUAAACGGCGGCCGUAACUAUAACGGUCCUAAGGUAGCGAAAUUCCUUGUCGGGUAAGUUCCGACCUGCACGAAUGGCGUAACGAUCUCCGCACUGUCUCAGGCUGAGACUCAGCGAAAUUGAAUUUGCUGUGAAAAUGCAGUGUACCUGCGACAAGACGGAAAGACCCCGUGAACCUUUACUAUAACUUGAUAAUGAUGUUUGGGUAAUUUUGUGUAGAAUAGGUGGGAGACUAUGAAUUCACUACGCCAGUAGAGUUGGAGUCCUCUUUGAAAUACCACCCUAAAUUACUUGGACAUCUAAUCUAAAUCCGUUACCCGGAUUAGAGACAUUGUCUGGUGGGUAGUUUGACUGGGGCGGUCACCUCCUAAAAGGUAACGGAGGCGCGCAAAGGUUUUCUCAACCUGAUUGGAAACCAGGUGUAGAGUGUAAUAGCAUAAGAAAGCUUAACUGUGAGACUGAUAGGUCGAACAGAUGGGAAACCAGGCUAUAGUGAUCCGGUGGUUCCGAGUGGAAGGGCCAUCGCUCAACAGAUAAAAGGUACUCCGGGGAUAACAGGCUUAUCACGCCCAAG
rnacentral:rRNA from 1 species